GGGUGUAUAGCUCAGUUGGUAGAGCAGCUGACUCUUAAUCAGCGGGUCCAAGGUUCGAAUCCUUGUACACCCA
rfam:Caulobacter vibrioides strain T5M6 contig_4, whole genome shotgun sequence.